rnacentral:rRNA from 1 species
UACGAAGGGGGCUAGCGUUGUUCGGAAUCACUGGGCGUAAAGGGCGCGUAGGCGGCCGAUCAAGUCGGGGGUGAAAGCCUGUGGCUCAACCACAGAAUUGCCUUCGAUACUGUUUGGCUUGAGACCGGAAGAGGUAAGUGGAACUGCGAGUGUAGAGGUGAAAUUCGUAGAUAUUCGCAAGAACACCAGUGGCGAAGGCGG